AAUCAACGCUGGCGGCGUGCCUAACACAUGCAAGUCGAACGAGAAAGGGGCUUCGGCCCUGAGUAGAGUGGCGGACGGGUGAGUAACACGUGGGUGAUCUACCCUCCAGUGGGGGAUAACACAUCGAAAGGUGUGCUAAUACCGCAUGGAGUUCCGGUUGUCGCGAUCGGAAUGAAAGCAGCAAUGUGCUGGAGGAGGAGCCGGCGCCGGAUUAGCUAGUUGGUGGGGUAAUGGCCUACCAAGGCAACGAUCCGUAGCCGGCCUGAGAGGGGGACCGACCACACUGGAACUGAGACACGGUCCAGACUCCUACGGGAGGCAGCAGUGGGGAAUUUUGCGCAAUGGGGGAAACCCUGACGCAGCAACGCCGCGUGGACGAUGAAGGCCUUUGGGUCGUAAAGUCCUGUCAGCAGGGAAAAACACAAUGAUGGUACCUGCAGAGGAAGCUCCGGCUAACUUCGUGCCAGCCGCCGCUGUAA
rnacentral:rRNA from 1 species